UAGGGAAUCUUCGGCAAUGGACGAAAGUCUGACCGAGCAACGCCGCGUGAGUGAAGAAGGCUUUCGGAUCGUAAAACUCUGUUGUUAGAGAAGAACAAUGACGUUAGUAACUGAACGUCCCCUGACGGUAUCUAACCAGAAAGCCACGGCCAACUACGUGCCAGCAGCCGUGGUAAUACGUAGGUGGCAAGCGUUGUCCGGAUUUAUUGGGCGUAAAGCGAGCGCAGGCGGUUUCUUAAGUCUGAUGUGAAAGCCCCCGGCUCAACCGGGGAGGGUCAUUGGAAACUGGGAGACUUGAGUGCAGAAGAGGAGAGUGGAAUUCCAUGUGUAGCGGUGAAAUGCGUAGAUAUAUGGAGGAACACCGGUAGCGAAGGCGGCUCUCUGGGCUGUAACUGACGCUGAGGCUCGAAAGCGUGGGGAGCAAACAGG
rnacentral:rRNA from 1 species